rnacentral:tRNA from 2 species
GGACUUUUAGCUCAGUUGGUAGAGCAACGGACUCUUAAUCCGUGGGUCGAGGGUUCGAGCCCCUCAGGGUCCA